rnacentral:tRNA from 1 species
GCGUCGUUAGCUCAGUUGGUAGAGCAGGGCACUCUUAAUGCUCGGGUCGGGGGUUCAAGUCCCUCACGGCGCACAU